AGAGGGGUGCGAGCGUUAAUCGGAAUUACUGGGCGUAAAGAGUUCGUAGGUGGUUGGCUAAGUCGGGAUGUGAAAUGCCCAGGCUUAACUUGGGAAUGCCAUUCGAUACUGGCUAACUAGAGUAGGAUAGAGGAAAGUGGAAUUUCCGGUGUAGCGGUGAAAUGCGUAGAUAUCGGAAGGAACACCAGUGGCGAAGGCGGCUUUCUGGAUCCAAACUGACACUGAGGAACGAAAGCGUGGGGAGCGAACAGGAUUAGAUACCCUGGUAGUCCACGCCGUAAACGAUGAGAACUAGCCGUUGGGGCGCUUAGACGUCUCAGUGGUGAAGCUAACGCGUUAAGUUCUCCGCCUGGGGAGUACGGCCGCAAGGUUA
rnacentral:rRNA from 1 species